UAUAAAGUGGAGUGGAGUAGAGCUAUUAUACUCUUAUGAGUAUGAAAUCCUCGUACUUGUAAGUCGUUUUAAAUAAUAACAACUUUCGAACCAACUAUUCAUACUGUUAAAUAUAAUCUAGAGUAUUGUAAAAUACCUAAAUGUAAGGACUGAAAUUUUGACAGUAUAACUAAACUCUAGUUAGUUAAUUCGCGAAUUAUUCACGAAUUAUUGAAAAUCCGAAUUAAACGGUCCGUUUACGAAUUUUUCCCAAAGAAAGAGAAUUAUUCGCAAAUUUUUGGGCCAGCCGAAUUAUUCGCGAAAUAUUCGCGAAUAAUUCGCGAAUUAUUCCCGAAUUAUUCGCGAAUAAUUCGCGAAUUAUUCCCGAAUUAUUGAAAAUAUGAAUAAAAAACUUAUAAUUUUUAUUUUUAAAUAUAAAUUAUCUUAUAUUUUAUAUCUUAUAUUCUAUAUUUUAUACCGAAUCCGUUUUUUAAGCCGAAUUUUUCAACGAAUUUAAAAAUUAGAAAACGAAUUUUAUGCGUAUUAUAUCCGUACCGAAUUUUUGCCGAAUCCGAAUUAACUAACUAUGAGCUAAACUCUCUAUUAACGAUAUUUUUUGUGUAUAUUUUAAUUACAAAAGCACUUAUCAAGUUUCGAGAGAAAACGAGUUUGAAUGGAGAAAUUACGUGACUUUUACUUUUCACUUAAAGUGAAUAGUAACUGCGGUUUCCGGAGAGGCCAA
rnacentral:lncRNA from 1 species